CCUACGGGAGGCAGCAGUGAGGAAUAUUGGUCAAUGGGCGCGAGCCUGAACCAGCCAAGUCGCGUGAAGGAGGACUGCACUACGGGUUGUAAACUUCUUUUGUCAAGGAAUAAAGUGAGGCACGCGUGCCUUUUUGUAUGUACUUUAUGAAUAAGGAUCGGCUAACUCCGUGCCAGCAGCCGCGGUAAUACGGAGGAUCCGAGCGUUAUCCGGAUUUAUUGGGUUUAAAGGGAGCGUAGAUGGGUUGUUAAGUCAGUUGUGAAAGUUUGGGGCUCAACCGUAAAAUCGCAGUUGAAACUGGCAGUCUUGAGUACAGGAGAGGUAGGCGGAAUGCGUGGUGUAGCGGUGAAAUGCAUAGAUAUCACGAAGAACUCCGAUUGCGAAGGCAGCUUACUAAACUGCCACUGACAUUGAGGCUCGAAAGUGUGGGUAUCAAACAGGAUUAGAUACCCGAGUAGUC
rnacentral:rRNA from 1 species